UCAAACUUGGUCAUUUAGAGGAAGUAAAAGUCGUAACAAGGUUUCCGUAGGUGAACCUGCGGAAGGAUCAUUACAAAGUAUCGGCCGGUCAGCGCCGGCAUGGCCGCUGCAGGCACCGGCGGGCCCCCCCCGCCGGUGCUGACAGUUGACCCUUUGUGUAAACCCUUUGUAGCUUUGGAAACCCUUUUUUUUUAGAAAGGAAGCAUUGAUUAAUGUCUGAAGACGCAGUCGAAUGACAUGCAAAAACUUUCAACAACGGAUCUCUUGGUUCCCGCAUCGAUGAAGAACGCAGC
rnacentral:misc_RNA from 1 species